CUUAGUGGAAAUUGAAAAAAAUAAUUACUAGGUAUAACUAGUUUCCAUGCUCACAUAUCAAGAUGGUAAUAAGCUACACAUGCAUUUGAAUGUGGGGCUAUUUGUUUAAAAUUUUAAUCUCACUUUCUCUCUCUGCUCCAUUUAGAGAUAUUUUUUAACCCUGAUUUUAUUGAAAUAGGCAGUGGGUUGUAUAUAAAUUUCUCUGAAAAUAUCUAGACAAAUCAACUGACUUGGAGUGUUUUUGACGAAAUGUUUUCAAAGUUGAGGGAAAAUCUAAUCCUACUACAUUAAUUGCCUAGGAACCGAUGGUUCAAUGUAUGGCAAAAUUCCUAGCACCUCUAAAUGGCCUUUGCUUUACCUUUGUGCAGUGCUUUUUGCAGUACAGUAUCAUAGCCACAGGACACUGUUGGAAUGUCCUCCCAAAGUAAAGUGAAGAUAUUGGGAAGAAAUUUACCAAACGUGUCAGAUGUCUCCUCCCUACCAGUAUUUUCAGCAAACUCUUUCAACAGGUGGUGUGGCAAGCCCAAAGAAGCGAGUGACUUUUUCAAGAAAAUCCCUUUGUGACACAGGGGCACUGGGAAAUAACAGCUUCGCAACAGUUCCUAGGAGAGAAGGAAAGGCUGAAAAAUCCA
rnacentral:lncRNA from 1 species